UUGGUUGGUUGGUUGGUUGGUUGGUUGGUUGUUUUGGCCCAGAGAUUCCCCAGGGCCUGGAAGAAUACAGAGACAAAUGAGGACAGCUGUGGUGCGGGAGGCACGAGAUCUUGGUUGAAAUUUGCCUCUCCAUUUGGACCAACUAUAUCAACCUGGGGUCUUCAUAUCCUUAGACCCAGAAGUCCAUCCCACUUCCAGAGGUUUCCACUGUGAAUCAGAACAGCAGACUAAGCUUUCCAUGGUGAUGUGUUACCAGGAAAAACCCUCUCUGCCCCCGGCACUGUGCUGCGUAUUUUAUAUAUGCCUUGCCAUCUACAUACAGCAGCCCUGGGAUAGGUCCCAUCAGAAAUCCCAUUUUACAGAUCAAGAAAGAAAUUGUUACUCAGAGAAGGCACUUGCCCACGUCACGCAGCUAGUAAGGGGUUCUAGCUCAGCAUGGUCUGACACUGGCACCCGGCUCCCAACACCCACGCUAACUCCCACACCAGGACUUUGUGCACAAAAAUACUCCACAUAUGGAAAGGAAGGAAAAAAAAUAUAGAAACCAAAAACCAAACCCUUAACUAUAGAGAACAAGCAGAUGGUUACCAGAGGGGUAGUGGGUGGGGGGUGGAGGAAAGAGGUGAAAGGGAUUAAAAAGUACAAUGAUGAUGCGCACUGAGUCAUGUAGAGAAUUAUUGAAUCACUAUAUUAUACACCUGGAACUAAUAUAAUGCUGUAUGUUCAUGAUACUGGAAUUAAAAUUUUUAAAAAAUUAAUAAAAGCUAAAAAAAAUACUCAACAAAUGUUUACACAUAACUGAACCCAUAUGUAUGUCUAUGUAUUUGUAUAUAAAUAUAUAUACACGCUAAUCCUCAGCCAUGUGAAAAUUUUAUGCAGAGAAAAACACUGGAAGCAAAUAUGCCAAUAUAGUAAUAGUGGUUAUCCUGGGUGGCGGAAUUAGGAGGACUUCGUUUCUUCUUUAUUUUUUUCUAUAUUUUCCAAAUUUUCUGCAACGAACAUGCAUUGUUCUGAUAACUGGAAAACAUAUAAUUUUUAAAUAAAAUAAACAUUCUUUGAUUGUUCUAUCA